UUGUGAAAAAGACGUUCAUUCUCAUGGAAAGGAAGCACAUUUCCUCUUCAAGAAAAUUCAUUCUCUCAUAAGUUUAUAACGACAUAGUAGUUUAGAAAUAAAAACUUAUUAUUAUUGGAUAACCUUCUUAUUUUUCAAACUCCAAUUAACAUAGAGAACUUGGAGUCCACAAAAACUAAAAUCCCUUACGUACCACAAAGUUUCUUAGCUGGAGCCAUGUCAGCAUCGGGAAUAUGUUUGUAAAGAAAAUGAGAACAUGUGUCCAAAUCAGAAAUAGCUUUGCAACAAGAAGGAUGAUCACCGGUUCGAGCCUUGAUCACGCUUACAAUACAUACUGCAGAGUCUCUAAUGAAAGAUUCACAACCAGAGAUAGAUAUAUUCGAAGGAUCAUAUGGAUCAGGUGCUACCGCCAUUAUUGAUGGUGCUAAAAUGACUAUGCAGACGAUGGAUAGAAGUGCUAACUUCACUAUGGAUGCGUUCAAUGACUUUCCUGCCAUUUUUGGUUGAAAAAUGAAUAUGAUGGUCUAAAGAAUGAGAGAAGUUUUGCUUUGUUUGGG